AACCCAUGGUGAGGGCAUGUUCUUAAGAGGGCCUUGUAUCUCUCCCAUGUAUUGUAGAGUGUUUCUAAAACCAUCUGCACAAAGGAAGAAAUAUCAUUACGUAAUUU
rnacentral:snoRNA from 1 species